rnacentral:tRNA from 1 species
UCCUCGAUAGCUCAGUUGGUAGAGCAACGGACUGUUAAUCCGCAGGUCCCUGGUUCGAGUCCAGGUCGGGGAGCCA